AUUGAACGCUGGCGGCAGGCUUAACACAUGCAAGUCGAGCGGGGUGAUGGUGCUUGCACUAUCACUUAGCGGCGGACGGGUGAGUAAUGCUUAGGAAUCUGCCUAUUAGUGGGGGACAACAUCUCGAAAGGGAUGCUAAUACCGCAUACGUCCUACGGGAGAAAGCAGGGGAUCACUUGUGACCUUGCGCUAAUAGAUGAGCCUAAGUCGGAUUAGCUAGUUGGUGGGGUAAAGGCCUACCAAGGCGACGAUCUGUAGCGGGUCUGAGAGGAGGAUCCGCCACACUGGGACUGAGACACGGCCCAGACUCCGACGGGAGGCAGCAGUGGGGAAUAUUGGACAAUGGGGGGAACCCUGAUCCAGCCAUGCCGCGUGUGUGAAGAAGGCCUUAUGGAUGUAAAGCACUUUAAGCGAGGAGGAGGCUCUUUUGGUUAAUACCCAAGAUGAGUGGACGUUACUCGCAGAAUAAGCACCGGCUAACUCUGUGCCAGCCGCCGCCGUAA
rnacentral:rRNA from 1 species